CAGUAGCCGCGGUAAUACGAAGGGUGCAAGCGUUAAUCGGAAUUACUGGGCGUAAAGCGUGCGUAGGCGGUGAGUUAAGUCUGCUGUGAAAUCCCCGGGCUCAACCUAGGAAUGGCAGUGGAUACUGGCUCGCUAGAGUGUGUCAGAGGAUGGUGGAAUUCCCGGUGUAGCGGUGAAAUGCGUAGAGAUCGGGAGGAACAUCAGUGGCGAAGGCAGCGACCUGGUCCAUUACUGACGCUGAGGCGCGACAGCGUGGGGAGCAAACAGGAUUAGAUACCCCCGUAGUCCCUGUCUCUUAUAC
rnacentral:rRNA from 1 species